CCUGAGCAGAGCCGUGGCGAGGACUGAGCGAGCCGAGGUGGAGGUUCUGGAGAAGCUGCACGCUGCGCUGGCUCAGAGCAUCUACCGCCAUCGCCACGACUACGACAAGACCGCGCUCGCCAAGGAAAUGAAGAAAGAAAUCGACAGCUCCUCCUGAUCUUCCCCCUCAGGUCUAUUUUAAUAAAACCUCAGAGCAUUCAAACAGGACGUUGUUAACUCCUCAUUUUGAUAAUGACACAUCACUUUACCUCAGUAUCUAUCUAUCCAUUUAUCUAUAUAUCUAUCUAUCCAUUUAUCUAUCUAUCCAUUUAUCUAUCUAUCUAUCUAUCACGUUUGAUCUUAUUUAUAAUACAGUAUUUAUCAAUGUGACCCAUUCAUGUAAAAGAUCCCCAGGACCAUGUUAUUUCAUCUUAAUUCAUCGGGACAUGAACUUGAAUAAAACUGAAUAUUGAGACUUCA